rnacentral:rRNA from 1 species
GGCAGGCCUAACACAUGCAAGUCGAGCGGAAACGAGUUAUCUGAACCUUCGGGGAACGAUAACGGCGUCGAGCGGCGGACGGGUGAGUAAUGCCUAGGAAAUUGCCCUGAUGUGGGGGAUAACCAUUGGAAACGAUGGCUAAUACCGCAUGAUGCCUACGGGCCAAAGAGGGGGACCUUCGGGCCUCUCGCGUCAGGAUAUGCCUAGGUGGGAUUAGCUAGUUGGUGAGGUAAGGGCUCACCAAGGCAACGAUCCCUAGCUGGUCUGAGAGGAUGAUCAGCCACACUGGAACUGAGACACGGUCCAGACUCCUACGGGAGGCAGCAGUGGGGAAUAUUGCACAAUGGGCGCAAGCCUGAUGCAGCCAUGCCGCGUGUGUGAAGAAGGCCUUCGGGUUGUAAAGCACUUUCAGUCGUGAGGAAGGUAGUGUAGUUAAUAGCUGCAUUAUUUGACGUUAGCGACAGAAGAAGCACCGGCUAACUCCGUGCCAGCAGCCGCGGUAAUACGGAGGGUGCGAGCGUUAAUCGGAAUUACUGGGCGUAAAGCGCAUGCAGGUGGUUUGUUAAGUCAGAUGUGAAAGCCCGGGGCUCAACCUCGGAAUAGCAUUUGAAACUGGCAGACUAGAGUACUGUAGAGGGGGGGUAGAAUUUCAGGUGUAGCGGUGAAAUGCGUAGAGAUCUGAAGGGAAUACCGGUUGGCGUAAGGCGGCCCCCCUGGACAGAUACUGACACUCAGAUGCGAAAGCGUGGGGAGCAAACAGGAUUAGAUACCCUGGUAGUCCACGCCCGUAAACGAUGUCUACUUGGAGGUUGUGGCCUUGAGCCGUGGCUUUCGGAGCUAACGCGUUAAGUAGACCGCCUGGGGAGUACGGUCGCAAGAUUAAAACUCAAAUGAAUUGACGGGGGCCCGCACAAGCGGUGGAGCAUGUGGUUUAAUUCGAUGCAACGCGAAGAACCUUACCUACUCUUGACAUCCAGAGAACUUUCCAGAGAUGGAUUGGUGCCUUCGGGAACUCUGAGACAGGUGCUGCAUGGCUGUCGUCAGCUCGUGUUGUGAAAUGUUGGGUUAAGUCCCGCAACGAGCGCAACCCUUAUCCUUGUUUGCCAGCGAGUAAUGUCGGGAACUCCAGGGAGACUGCCGGUGAUAAACCGGAGGAAGGUGGGGACGACGUCAAGUCAUCAUGGCCCUUACGAGUAGGGCUACACACGUGCUACAAUGGCGCAUACAGAGGGCGGCCAACUUGCGAAAGUGAGCGAAUCCCAAAAAGUGCGUCGUAGUCCGGAUUGGAGUCUGCAACUCGACUCCAUGAAGUCGGAAUCGCUAGUAAUCGUGGAUCAGAAUGCCACGGUGAAUACGUUCCCGGGCCUUGUACACACCGCCCGUCACACCAUGGGAGUGGGCUGCAAAAGAAGUAGGUAGUUUAACCUUCGGGGGGACGCUUACCACUUUGUG